rnacentral:rRNA from 1 species
UGCAAGUCGAACGGUGAACACGGAGCUUGCUCUGUGGGAUCAGUGGCGAACGGGUGAGUAACACGUGAGCAACCUGCCCCUGACUCUGGGAUAAGCGCUGGAAACGGCGUCUAAUACUGGAUACGAGUAGCGACCGCAUGGUCAGUUACUGGAAAGAAUUUUGGUUGGGGAUGGGCUCGCGGCCUAUCAGCUUGUUGGUGAGGUAAUGGCUCACCAAGGCGUCGACGGGUAGCCGGCCUGAGAGGGUGACCGGCCACACUGGGACUGAGACACGGCCCAGACUCCUACGGGAGGCAGCAGUGGGGAAUAUUGCACAAUGGGCGAAAGCCUGAUGCAGCAACGCCGCGUGAGGGAUGACGGCCUUCGGGUUGUAAACCUCUUUUAGCAGGGAAGAAGCGAAAGUGACGGUACCUGCAGAAAAAGCGCCGGCUAACUACGUGCCAGCAGCCGCGGUAAUACGUAGGGCGCAAGCGUUAUCCGGAAUUAUUGGGCGUAAAGAGCUCGUAGGCGGUUUGUCGCGUCUGCUGUGAAAUCCGGAGGCUCAACCUCCGGCCUGCAGUGGGUACGGGCAGACUAGAGUGCGGUAGGGGAGAUUGGAAUUCCUGGUGUAGCGGUGGAAUGCGCAGAUAUCAGGAGGAACACCGAUGGCGAAGGCAGAUCUCUGGGCCGUAACUGACGCUGAGGAGCGAAAGGGUGGGGAGCAAACAGGCUUAGAUACCCUGGUAGUCCAC